UAGGGAAUCUUCCACAAUGGGCGCAAGCCUGAUGGAGCAACACCGCGUGAGUGAAGAAGGGUUUCGGCUCGUAAAGCUCUGUUGUUAAAGAAGAACACGUAUGAGAGUAACUGUUCAUACGAUGACGGUAUUUAACCAGAAAGUCACGGCUAACUACGUGCCA
rnacentral:rRNA from 1 species